rnacentral:rRNA from 1 species
UACGUAGGGGGCGAGCGUUGUCCGGAAUCACUGGGCGUAAAGGGCGCGUAGGCGGCCGAUCGCGGCGGCGGUGAAAGCCCGGGGCUCAACCCCGGAGGGUCCGUCGCGACGGGUCGGCUCAGGGGCUCGCAGGGGAGCAGGGAAUCCCUGGUGUAGCGGUGGAAUGCGUAGAGAUCAGGGGGAACUCCGACGGCGAAGGCACUGCUCUGGGCGAAGCCCGACGCUGAGGCGCGAAAGCUGGGGGAGCGAACGGG